GGAGAGAUGGCCGAGAGGUCGAAGGCGCCUGACUCGAAAUCAGGUGUGGGCAUUGCUCACCGGGGGUUCGAAUCCCUCUCUCUCCG
rnacentral:tRNA from 1 species